rnacentral:rRNA from 1 species
UAAGACGAACCGUGCGAACGUUAUUCGGAAUUAUUGGGCUUAAAGGGCGCGUAGGCGGCCGUUUAAGUGGGGGGUGAAAUCCUGGCGGCUCAACCGCGGGAGUGCCUUCCAUACUGGGCGGCUAUGAGGGAGGUAGGGGCCGGUGGAACUUCCGGUGGAGCGGUGAAAUGUGUUGAGAUCGGAAGGAACGCCUGUGGCGAAAGCGACCGGCUGGACCUUUUCCUGACGCUGAGGCGCGAAAGCCAGGGGAGCAAACGGGAUUAGAUACCCCGGUAGUCCUGGCCUUAAACGAUGGGCACUGGGUAGGGAGCGUGCCGAUGACGCCCCCUGCCGCAGCGAAAGUGUUAAGUGCCCCGCCUGGGGAGUAUGGUCGCAAGGCUG